rnacentral:rRNA from 1 species
GACGAACGCUGGCGGCGUGCCUAACACAUGCAAGUCAACUUGACUGAAGGAGCAAUCUGACAGUAGAGUGGCGCAAGGGUGCGUAACGCGUAAGUACCUUGCCCAAGGUAAGGAAUAACGUCGAGAAAUCGGCGCUAAUACCUCAUAAUGCAGCGGAUCCGCAUGGAUAUGUUGUUAAAGGUUUACCGCCUUGGGACAGGCUUGCGUCUGAUUAGCUAGUUGGUGUGGUAACGGCACACCAAGGCUACGAUCAGUAACUGGUCUGAGAGGAUGAUCAGUCACACUGGAACUGAGACACGGUCCAGACUCCUACGGGAGGCAGCAGUGAGGAAUAUUGGGCAAUGCUCGAAAGAGUGACCCAGCAACGCCGCGUGGAGGAUGAAGGUAUUCUAUAUCGUAAACUCCUGUGAGAGCAGACGAAAGACAGAUUAUUAAUCUGGAUGACUGUAUGCUCAGAGGAAGCCCCAGCAACUACG